rnacentral:tRNA from 1 species
GCGGCCAUGGCCUAGUGGUUAUGGCGUCAGUCUUACAGUCAGCCGAUCUUCGAUUGCCGCACUGCUUACACUGAAGGUCGGUGGUUCGAUCCCGCCUGGCCGUA